rnacentral:misc_RNA from 1 species
CAGUUUGGUGGGAUUAUAAAGGAAUUCUGUACUUUGAACUUUUACCAAGAAUGAUUAAUUCAAACGCGUACGUUCCACAACUCGCCAAACUGAGCGAUGCACUUCAAGAAAAGCGGCCAGAAUUGGCAGAUCAUAAGGGUGUUGUUUUCCAGCAUGAUAAUUCAAAAUCCCACACGUCUUUGGUCACUCACCAAAAAUUAUUGGAACUAGGUUGGGAUGUGUUAUCACAUCCACCAUAUAGCCCUGAUCUUACGCCUUCGGAUUACCAUUUAUUUCGUUCCAUGCAGAACUCCUUAAAUGCUUCAUAACCAGCCUGUCAUAGAACUUCCAAAAGCCUGCAUGAGAAAUUAUUACAGGUAACAUCACUGAUAUGUACUUAUAUAUGUAUACAUAUUUAAGAUUCAAAUAGUACAAAAUUUAAAAAUUAUUGCACACGAUUAUAUAUAUUAACUUAAUUACUCUGUAACUUUUAAUUGUAAUAUAACCAUAUUUAUAUAAAAACUGUGGAAAUAAAAUAAGAGUAAUGUCAAGCGAGCAACAUUAUUAUUAUGUUUUAUUUUGUAUGUAUAUGUGAUUAAAUUAUGUAAAUUGUAAGAGAUGAUAACAUUAAUAACAUUUUUCAUAACUGUACUCUACAA